rnacentral:sRNA from 1 species
AAAUUUAAGGGAAAUUUACAAAACUAGCCUUUUUUUACUAUCUUUUGCAUUAAUACCCUAUUGUGUUGUCCAUUUUUAAAAAUACCCCUUCCAUUGAACAGAAUGACCAAAUUACCCUCAUCUAAUAGGAAUAUUUAAUUGGAAACUGAAAUUUUCCCGCCAAAUUUUCUUUUUCCCGCUAAAAAAAUAUUCCGCCAAACUUUUUCCCGCCAAAAAAAAGUUCGUGACAAAUUUUUUUUCAGCAAAAGAAAUGCUUUUAAAAAUCCUUGUAAAUUUUUUUUGGCGGGAAAUAGAUUUACAAGGGAUUUUAAAUGAUUUCAAAGAUUUAUAAGAGAUUUUAAAAGGGUUCAAAAAUAUUUACAAGAAAUUUUAAAGGGCUUUCAAAGAUUUAUAAAUGUUUUUAAAUGAUUUUUAAAGGGUUUAAAAGUGUUUUAAAAGAUUUACAAAUGAUUUUAAAAGGGUUUUAUAAUAUUUACAAAGGAUUUUAAAAGUGUUUUACAAGAUUUACAAGAGAUUUUAAAAGGUUUUAAUAAAAUUUACAAGAGUUUUUAAAAUGUUUUCUUGUAAAU